GUCUUUAGUCUUGUCUUGAGGACCUGCACUUACCAUGUGCCUAUGUUUGUGCCACACCAGGCAUCCUAGAAAUGCCAAGUUUGCACAAAGGGAUAGCACCCAAAAUUAUGUAACUGUGGAUGGGAAUCACAACGCUAUUAUUGACCUCAUGGCUGACCCUGUGCUCUGACCCCAGCUUCCUGACAUGCUGGGGCUGAGAAAUUCUGUCAAGUCUUCUCUAUCCCCAGCCACAGAUUCCAGCUCCAUCUGAGAGAUCCCCAGAUGUUCUCAAGCCAACAGUGAGAUAUAAUCUUGCCAGUGUUUCCUAGGUCUACCUAGGGUCUCUGUCUAGCAGGACAUGCCUGAUACUGCUCUACUGGGAGCUGACAAGUGGGCGUCAUUUUAAGGUGCCCAAAGCACCUCAACUGACUCUUUUAAAUUUGGAGGAGCUGCAGUUCAUCUCUGAGGUUCUUCUGGAUGGUUGGGCUCCUCACCUUAUCAAGGAGAGUAAAUCCAGCAGAGGAACCUCAUUUCUGCUUCCUGUACUGCUGACCAUAUUCUUUCUGCCACAAUGUCAACAUUUAAACAAACGUCAAUUUAUACAAGUUAAUUUAAUUUGGUUUAUUAAUUAAGUUUAUUGUAUGUUAAUGUUAAAUAAUGCAGUAAAUUACAUUAGUUAAAGGGGUAAUAAUGUGAUUUUUAAUGUUUUCCUUCUGUUUGAAAGUGUAAUGUAUCUGUUUGUGCAUGUACAGUAUACGCUUUGCAAAGUCCCUAAACUUAUAUUUUCCCCUAAAGGGAUUUAUUUAUAGAACACUGCUCCACACCUGGCCAAAACACGUUCAAACUCUAGAUUUACUUCCGUAAUUUCUCUACAUCAUGGCAUGCACUAUCAGAAUUAUCCCACCCAAAGGUAGCCACAAAGAAAGAAGAUGAGGCUUCAGUGAAUUCAGUCACCAUGUUGUGGAGACGCUGUUUGUUUCUGUAUGAAAGCAAAACCUCUUUGUUUACCCUUCCAAAAAUGGACGCAAUCAGUGGUCACUGUUUAUAUAAUGCUGUUCCUGAGCAGUAAAACCCAAAUGUUUGCUUGUGCACAGCGCAUUUUACGGAGGACAGCUUCCCAAACCUGGGCGAAUACAGGCUACACACAAAGGCUACUCCUGAAAAGUGAUUUCCCCACUUUGCUUGGACAAUCUUAUGCUUCUGAAUCAGAACUGCUGAGUUUUGUGUUGUGGCUCAGUUGUAGACCUCUGCUAACGUAGUAGCUAAAGUUUGCUAAGUUGCCUCAGUUUUUUAAGUGUUUGUUUGUAUGUUGGUGGCCUGACAGACAUUGAAUGUAGCUGUUUUCUGCUUGGUCAUUUUUUGAAUAUGACUCUGGCAUGAACUAAUAUGGUAAAACCAACAACACGUUGCUUAGUAGCUUAGAAUUGCUUUAGAAGCCUUUGAGACUAAAGCUCAGGGGUGUUACUUUUCUGACACACUUAUGAGGCUUUUGACCAAUCACAACGCAAGGGGUCAGGUGAGCAAUCAGAGCGCUCUGGGCUUUUCGGAAGGAGGGACUUUGGUGAAAUCAAAGCGGUUCAGGCAGCCUGGGAAUAGGGGUACUGCAAUAAUAUAUAUAUUAUUUGAGAAAUAAUGCAUUUUUUGAACAUUAAAGCAUGUUACCUUAUUUUAUUACACCCAAUAAACAAAAUAAUUAACAUUUAAAAAUCAUGAAAUUUAAGGGAACUAGAAUUAGAACACUAAACAUUAGGUUAGCUUUGAGUAAGAGUAAACUCUUGUGUUACAUGUCUACCUAUAGAAGUAUAAGAUGUGGGGUUUUAGGUACCUGCAAACUUUUAAUUGGCCAACAGUGGAAAACCCUCCUAGCCACCUUUCUUCUCGUAUUUUUACCCAUAAUCCUGCAAAAGAGGUGUAAAGCACUCAGCAUGUUUAUAUUUGUGUUGGAAUUACAUUUGGAUCUUGUUCUUUUAGGAAGUUAUGGACAUUAGAUGAAUGAAGAAUGAAUGAAUGUGUUUUCACAAUGAAGAAUGUGUUCUGGCUUUCCUCAAAUCCUUAUGUCACUUUUUUUGCCCUUUGCUUCUGAGUUCUUACAAACUCAUUAGAAGGCCUAUUGAUAUUACAGGAAAGUUGGCCCUUUGGGUUGUUUUCAUUAAAUCAACCCCCCCCCGAGGCAAUUAAUGGCUUCUAAUAAAAGGUUAAAA